rnacentral:rRNA from 1 species
GACGAACGCUGGCGGCGUGCUUAACACAUGCAAGUCGAACGGAAAGGCCCUGCUUUUGUGGGGUGCUCGAGUGGCGAACGGGUGAGUAACACGUGAGUAACCUGCCCUUGACUUUGGGAUAACUUCAGGAAACUGGGGCUAAUACCGGAUAGGAGCUCCUGCUGCAUGGUGGGGGUUGGAAAGUUUCGGCGGUUGGGGAUGGACUCGCGGCUUAUCAGCUUGUUGGUGGGGUAGUGGCUUACCAAGGCUUUGACGGGUAGCCGGCCUGAGAGGGUGACCGGCCACAUUGGGACUGAGAUACGGCCGAGAGUCCUACGGGAGGCAGAAGUGGGGAAUAUGGCACAAUGGUCGGAAGCCUGAUGCAGCAACGCCGCGUGCGGGAUGACGGCCUUCGGGUUGUAAACCGCUUUCGCCUGUGACGCAGCGUGAGUGACGGUAAUGUGUAAAGAAGCACCGGCUAACUACGUG